rnacentral:rRNA from 1 species
GAUGAACGCUGGCGGCGUGCCUAAUACAUGCAAGUCGAGCGAACGGACGAGAAGCUUGCUUCUCUGAUGUUAGCGGCGGACGGGUGAGUAACACGUGGAUAACCUACCUAUAAGACUGGGAUAACCUCGGGAAACCGGAGCUAAUACCGGAUAAUAUUUUGAACCGCAUGGUUCAAAAGUAAAAGACGGUCUUGCUGUCACUUAUAGAUGGAUCCGCGCUGCAUUAGCUAGUUGGUAAGGUAACGGCUUACCAAGGCAACGAUGCAUAGCCGACCUGAGAGGGUGAUCGGCCACACUGGAACGGAGACACGGUCAAGACGCCUACGGGAGGCAGCAGUAGGGAAUCUGCCGCAAUGGGCGAAAGCCUGACGGAGCAACGCCGCGUGAGUGAUGAAGGUCUUCGGAUCGUAAAACUCUGUUAUUAGGGAAGAACAUAUGUGUAAGUAACUGUGCACAUCUUGACGGUACCUAAUCAGAAGGCCACGGCUAACUACGUG